UACGUAGGGCGCGAGCGUUGUCCGGAAUUAUUGGGCGUAAAGAGCUCGUAGGCGGCUGGUUGCGUCUGCUGUGAAAUCCCGGGGCUUAACCCCGGGCGUGCAGUGGAUACGGGCCGGCUGGAGGCAGGCAGGGGAGAAUGGAAUUCCCGGUGUAGCGGUGAAAUGCGCAGAUAUCGGGAGGAACACCGGUGGCGAAGGCGGCUCUCUGGACCGUAACUGACGCUGAGGCGCGAAAGCAUGGGGAGCGAACAGG
rnacentral:rRNA from 1 species